CAGAGCAGGUGACACAGGAAAGCAUCCAGCAAAUACAACAACCGUUCUUGACAAACACAUGAUUUACAAAAUGAAGAAUAAAGAAUUGUGUCAGCUAGAGAGAGAGAGAAGGCAGAUGAAACAAGCACAGUAAUACACAGGAGGCAAAAAGCAAGAGGAAGAACAUUACGUUCAUCAGCCACGGACCCAAAUUAGCUUGGGAAAGAGAUGUGAAAAUUGGAUUAACUCCUAUGAAAACAUCAGGGAAUUAUUAGUGCCCAAAGGACUCACCUGCAGCAUGGACCUGGAUGUGGAGGUGGCUGGAAAAGCCUUUGUUCCCCAUCCCACUCUGUACCUGGUUUAGCUCCCUUCCCAGCCGGGCCCAACCCACGGCUCAGCCCUGGAUCACUCCCUCACCGGGAUCCAUUCCUGCCUGGAAUUCUGAAACAACAGUGACAGUGGUUCUCUUGGACUUGUGUCAGCCUGUGCCAGUGCUUUCCUGGGAUCUGGACACAGGAAUAUGUGAGGAUGCUCUUGCUCUUCCUUCUCCACCCCGCUUCAUCCCGUGAACUGCUUACACGAAACCAGGAAAACUCGGCAAGAGAGGAGAAAAAAAAAAAUCGGUCUGGACUGAAAGCAAACUACUCCUGCCCCCCCAGCAAUGCCUCAUCCACCGAGGGGAGCGGGGCCACGGAAACACCGGGGAGUACAACACCUAAACGCUCCCAGGAGCUUGGAACACAGCUCUGGGAUGGGAUGGGAGGCAGCGGGGGCUCAGGGAGCCACGGACACGCCCGAGGGGCACCGGUGACCGGAGCGACGCGGGACGGAAAAACGGGAGCACCCCAAAACAGCGGGAAUGGGAACCCAGCGGAGCAGGGCCAUGGAGCUGCCCCAUGGAGCCGAGGGGUCCCGCCCGGGCCGGAGGGGACGAGCCCGGAGGAGCCCAGA